rnacentral:snoRNA from 1 species
UCGAUGAUGAGCAAUAAAAAGCUGACUUAAUAUGAUGAACCUUUCGGGGUAUCUGAG